rnacentral:rRNA from 1 species
UACGUAGGGGGCAAGCGUUGUCCGGAAUCACUGGGCGUAAAGCGCGCGCAGGCGGUCAUCUACGUCUGGGGUGAAAGCCCGGGGCUCAACCCCGGGAGGCGGGUGGAUACUGCUCAGCUCGAGUCCGGAAGAGGAGUGUGGAAUUCCUGGUGUAGCGGUGAAAUGCGCAGAUAUCAGGAGGAACACCAAUGGCGAAGGCAGCACUCUGGGACGGUACUGACGCUGAGACGCGAAAGCGUGGGGAGCGAACAGG